UACGUAGGUGUCAAACGUUGUCCGGAUUUAUUGGGCGUAAAGCGCCCGCAGGCGGCUUUGUAAGUUCUAAGUGAAAUCUCCCGGCUCAACUGGGAGGGGUCUUGGAAAACUGCAAGGCUUGAGGCAGGGAGAGGGAUGUGGAAUUCCAGGUGUAGCGGUGGAAUGCGUAGAUAUCUGGAGGAACACCAGUGGCGAAGGCGGCAUCCUGGCCCUGUCCUGACGCUGAGGGGCGAAAGCGUGGGGAGCAAAC
rnacentral:rRNA from 1 species